AAUAAGUGCAGUUUUGCAAUAUUCAUCUUCAACGUUUGACCGUUCGUCUUAUUUAAUUUUUUUAUUACUAAUUUUAUUGUUAUUAGAUGAUAAAGCAUGAAUAGUACUUUAUGUGUGACUAAUUUUUUAAAAAAAUUUCAUAAAAUUUUUAAAUAAGACGAACGGUCAAACGUUGGAUACGGAUUUCCACGGCUACAUUUAUU
rfam:Oryza glaberrima chromosome 6 Oglab06_0220_10, whole genome shotgun sequence.